AACAUUUUUUUAACAAUAAACAUUAUAUUGAUAUUCCUAAGUUAUUAUACAUAGUAUGAAACAUAAAUACAUCUCCAGUUAUACAUUAUACGUCUAUAUACAUUCCUAUCGUCCAGUACACAUUUCUGUAAAAAAAAGCGAUUAUAUUAGGUAAAAAUUUCGUACGUAGAGAUUUUGCAGGAAGCAACCAGUUGUUUGCAGCAUUUUUUUCAACAGUUAUUCUUUGGAUAGUUGAAAGAAUAGCACAAAAAUUAUUUUCGUUACUAUGUUUUAAGGCGACUAGCCUAUUCAUAUGAAUAAUAUACUGGUUUAAUUAUAUAAUAAAUUCCACCAAAUAUAGCACACAAUAUAAGGAUUACCUUACCUAUUACAACUGAAUAAGAUUAAAAAAAAUGUUUGAUAUCUAUAGCAGAUAGCUUUACCUUAGUAAAUUCAAUAUUUCCUAUUUGAAUAGGGAGGGUAAUUUAAACAUAAUGAGUAUUCAUAUUACCACGACGAUUAAACAUGUUAUUAUCUGUGUUACAAUGAAUCUAUAAUUAUAAAUAAAAGCGAGUGCACUAUACAUGGUUUGGUUAUAAGUAUGAAAUAAUACACGUUUCAAGAUAAAACAAAAUGGUACAAUACUAGUAUAUUUAGAAUCUUUUUACUAAAUUAAAUAAAUCUGCGUAGACUAAACACAACAAGAUAUACAAAAACGACCUAACCGAAAACCUAACAUUAACCUGCCUGAAAAUAAUAAUAAGAAAUAAAGUGUUGUACACAGUGGCGGAUUUGCCCUAAGCAUAGAAGGCCCUGGCCUAGGGCGGCUAGAUAUUAUGGGCGGCAGUCUAUACAGAAAGGUAAAACUUAAUAAGGGGCCUUUAGGGGCCAAGGUUGCCCAUAUUGAAUAACACCAUCCAGGAGUUUUUAUUACAGGAUUACAGCUCUAUUAGUACAUUAUAAGGUUGUUUAUAUAACAACACUUUUUCGAAAUGCGAAUUCGCAAGAGUUAUAUUAAUAAAAGAAAAUCAAAUAACCUACCCUAGCUACAUAAAUUACAUUUUAUAAAAUAAACAUGCCAUGAAUUUGUGGUGAUUCAUACAAUGAGCAGCACCAAAUUAACUAUGUACAACUUAAAUUUUAAAUAAGAAAAGACGAGAAACUGGGACUAGGUAAAAUAAUAGUCGUUGUCAAAUAAAAUGGCAUUUCGUUGAGAUAAAAGGUGGUGUUACAAAAAAAAACUACUGACUCGUACGAACCAGCCGCCAAAAAGCCGGUUACAUACAACCGAACAUCAACCGAAGAUAUAGUCUGACAAAAAAAACUAGAAAUUAAAAAGUGGCAAUACUGUAGUGUCGUCCCUUUCAAAUCAAUAUAUAUAAGAAAACGGGACGACACUACUGUAUUGCCACUUUUUUGUCAGACUGUACAUGUACUCUCAUUUUAAAACGACAUGCUUAAAUUUCACGAAAUCGGUAUGAACAUUCACGUAACAUAUGUGACGUACCACGGGUAAAGGUACCUUAUGUCGGUUGGCGUUUACGCUAUUAUUAACGCCGCUUGAAUAUUGUUGCGGCGCUAUGCGACGUAAACGCCAGCCGCCAUAAGGUACCUUUUUCCGUGGAACGUCACAUAUAUCUAUGUGGUGGACCUAGUCAACACAUAUUUAUUGACUAUAAAAGUAUUAAGAAAAAUUACACUAAGAAAUGUGCUUAAAACGAUUGCAUUAACUUGUUGAAGAAAUGAGACGACAUUUAAAUUAAUAACGAAGUCGACUGGUCUGUA